AUCCAGCUGACGAGUUCUACAUAGGGUGAAACGCACUUCCUGCAU
rfam:Schistosoma curassoni strain Dakar, Senegal genome assembly, scaffold: SCTD_scaffold0006462